CCUGAUCAGCCAUGCCGCGUGUGUGAAGAAGGCCUUUUGGUUGUAAAGCACUUUAAGCGAGGAGGAGGAGCUUCAGGUUAAUACCCUGGAUGCUUGGACGUUACUCGCAGAAUAAGCACCGGCUAACUCUGUGCCAGCAGCCGCGGUAAUACAGAGGGUGCAAGCGUUAAUCGGAUUUACUGGGCGUAAAGCGUGCGUAGGCGGC
rnacentral:rRNA from 1 species